UUUGCUAUAAGUAGGCACAAACUUAUUUAGCUGAACUGAAGCUCUGAUUUUUCUAACAAAACUUUCCUUUGACUGUGAAAAUUAAUGUAGGUAGUGCAAUUUAAAAUUUUAUUUUGGCCUUUUCACACUGAAAUCUUUCUCCAAUUUUUGUUUUGACUGAACAAACAAUGGUUUGUAACAACAGUUAAUGUGCAUUUCAUUUUUCUCUCUACAUGGUAAUUUUCCUGGUAAUGUAAACGGUUUGUAAACCUCAUCAAAAUAUCCUCUAAAUGUGUUUCCAUGGUGCACUGAGAGAAUUAGUAGCUAGAAACAUAUCAAUAUAAUCCAACUGGUAUCUUAGAUUCAACUACUGGGGGGGAACAGGAAACACAAUCUCUCUCUAAUUAUUUAUUAUAAUUACAAGGUACUUUCCACUGCUUCUUGAAUGUCAUGAAACAAUCAAAUUCUGUGCUUAUAUGUCAAAGUAAUUAUUUUACCUUCCAAUAACCUGAUUUUAUGAAACAGGAUCAUACUUUUAAAACAUAACUCUCCAUAUAAUUCAAAACCUGAGAACUCUUUUGGAUGUUUAAACUUGAUCCCAACGCUUAAAUGAAUGUUGUAAAGACUGCUAUAGUUACUGAAGCAUUUUCCUUUUUUUAGUUUAUUAGUUGCUUCUCUAAUUCAUUGAGGCAAUGAAUUUUCCUUAUAGAGAACUACAGAAAAACCAUGAAUAACUCAGCACAAAAUAUGAAACAAGUUCUUGACAGCGAUGAUCAGAAGUACUGCUUGCCCAAAUUAAGAAAUUGCAAAACACAAAGAUGUGUGAGGUAAAUUCAGGUGGAAAACAAAACUAAGCCUCAUCUCUAGAUGGUGGUUUGGAUUCCCUAGAAGAUGUUAAGUUUGAAUAUCAUUAGUAGAUGGGCGAAGAAAUUAAGUAUGUGAUUAGUGUACUGGAUUAUAAUUCAUUUUGUUAAAAAUGAGCGUUAAAAAAGAAAUCAUCUCCUGCUCUUCUCCCAGUCUCUACAAUAAAAGUCCAAAUGGCCACUGUGCUCCA
rnacentral:lncRNA from 1 species